rnacentral:rRNA from 1 species
UAGGGGAACUGAGAGGUUUAUCCCCCCACACUGGUACUGAGACACGGACCAGACUCCUACGGGAGGCAGCAGUGAGGAAUAUUGGUCAAUGGGCGAGAGCCUGAACCAGCCAAGUCGCGUGAAGGACGACGGUAUUAUGUAUUGUAAACUUCUUUUAUAAGGGAAUAAAGCUAGGGACGUGUCCUUAUUUGUAUGUACCUUAUGAAUAAGCAUCGGCUAACUCCGUGCCAGCAGCCGCGGUAAUACGGAGGAUGCGAGCGUUAUCCGGAUUUAUUGGGUUUAAAGGGUGCGUAGGCGGAUUAAUAAGUCAGCGGUGAAAUCUUGGAGCUCAACUCCGAAACUGCCGUUGAAACUGUUAAUCUUGAGUGUGAACGAGGUAGGCGGAAUUCGUGGUGUAGCGGUGAAAUGCAUAGAUAUCACGAAGAACUCCGAUAGCGCAGGCAGCUUACCAGAUCACAACUGACGCUGAAGCACGAAAGUGUGGGUAUCAAACAGGAUUAGAUACCCUGGUAGUCCACACAGUAAACGAUGAAUACUCACUGUUUGCGAUAUACAGCAAGCGGUCAAGCGAAAGCGUUAAGUAUUCCACCUGGGGAGUACGCCGGCAACGGUAAAACUCAAAGGAAUUGACGGGGGCCCGCCUGCAGACAUGUGGUUUAAUUCGAUGCAACGCG